AUUGAACGCUGGCGGCAGGCCUAACACAUGCAAGUCGAGCGAGCCGCGUACGUGUGAGUAAUGUAUGGGGAUCUGACUGAUGGAUGGCUAUAACUACGGGAAACGGUAGCUAAUCACGCAUACCACCAGAGAAAACCAUAUGGGCUUAGCUAGUAGGUGAGGUAACGGCUUACCUAGGCGACGAUCCCUCGCUGGUCUGAGCUGCUGAUCAGCCACACUGGGACUGAGACACGGCCCAGACUCCUACGGGAGGAAGCAGUGGGGAAUAUUGCACAAUGGGGGAAAGCCUGAUGCAGCCAUGCCGCGUGUAUGAAGAAGGCCUUCGGGUUGUAAAGUACUUUCAGUAGGGAGGCGUUACCGACAGAAGAAGCACCGGCUAACUCCGUGCCAGCAGCCGCGGUAAUAC
rnacentral:rRNA from 1 species